CACGAUGUGAUCCACCAGCCAGGAGGGACGCCAACAAGGCAUCCGAUAAGAUAAAUCUUAUAUAAAAUAUAGAUUUAUGAUAAUUAAGACUAAGCUAACAGAUGAGGAAUCCUAGUCAUUGGCCAAGCAUCAUUGAACCUAAUACAAGUUUCUGUGUAUUCAUUUGGGCCUAACUUGAGCAGGCAGCUGGCGUAAAGCACACACGUGGUGGUGGGGCUCAGGCAGUUUAUGGUGGAAAGAUUUAUCUUGAGCCUUCCUCAGACCAACAUCAACCCUGCUGGAGCAACUCCUUGAGCAGCAGCCAAACCUUUGGAGGCCUCAACCUGAGAGACUAGAAAUAAAGAGUGAAGUCAGCAUCCAGGAUUGGGAACAAACACUGCUGGAAAGGUAUUAGAUGUCCAAGGAAAGAGCCAAGUCCAGUUACACAUGAUGAUCCCUACAUGAUCUUUGGGAAC
rnacentral:lncRNA from 1 species